rnacentral:rRNA from 1 species
GAUGAACGCUGGCGGCGUGCCUAAUACAUGCAAGUCGAGCGAACAGAUGAGGAGCUUGCUCCUCUGACGUUAGCGGCGGACGGGUGAGUAACACGUGGAUAACCUACCUAUAAGACUGGGAUAACUUCGGGAAACCGGAGCUAAUACCGGAUAAUAUAUUGAACCGCAUGGUUCAAUAGUGAAAGACGGUUUUGCUGUCACUUAUAGAUGGAUCCGCGCCGCAUUAGCUAGUUGGUAAGGUAACGGCUUACCAAGGCGACGAUGCGUAGCCGACCUGAGAGGGUGAUCGGCCACACUGGAACUGAGACACGGUCCAGACUCCUACGGGAGGCAGCAGUAGGGAAUCUUCCGCAAUGGGCGAAAGCUUGACGGAGCAACGCCGCGUGAGUGAUGAAGGUCUUCGGAUCGUGAAACUCUGUUAUUAGGGAAGAACAAAUGUGUAAGUAACUAUGCACGUCUUGACGGUACCUAAUCAGAAAGCCACGGCUAACUACGUG